AUUGAACGCUGGCGGCAGGCCUAACACAUGCCAGUCGAGCGGAUGAAGGGAGCUUGCUCCUGGAUUCAGCGGCGGACGGGUGAGUAAUGCCUAGGAAUCUGCCUGGUAGUGGGGGAUAACGUCCGGAAACGGGCGCUAAUACCGCAUACGUCCUGAGGGAGAAAGUGGGGGAUCUUCGGACCUCACGCUAUCAGAUGAGCCUAGGUCAGAUUAGCUAGUUGGUGGGGUAAAGGCCUACCAAGGCGACGAUCCGUAACUGGUCUGAGAGGAUGAUCAGUCACACUGGAACUGAGACACGGUCCAGACUCCUACGGGAGGCAGCAGUGGGGAAUAUUGGACAAUGGGCGAAAGCCUGAUCCAGCCAUGCCGCGUGUGUGAAGAAGGUCUUCGGAUUGUAAAGCACUUUAAGUUGGGAGGAAGGGCAGUAAGUUAAUACCUUGCUGUUUUGACGUUACCAACAGAAUAAGCACCGGCUAACUUCGUG
rnacentral:rRNA from 1 species